AAUAUAUGGAGUCAGGCAACCAUUCAAACAGGGCGUAACCGAAAAGCCAUACGAGUAGGAAAACU
rfam:Candidate division TM6 bacterium GW2011_GWF2_33_332 TR43_C0010, whole genome shotgun sequence.